AUUGAACGCUGGCGGCAGGCUUAACACAUGCAAGUCGAGCGGAGAUGAGGUGCUUGCACCUUAUCUUAGCGGCGGACGGGUGAGUAAUGCUUAGGAAUCUGCCUAUUAGUGGGGGACAACAUUCCGAAAGGAAUGCUAAUACCGCAUACGUCCUACGGGAGAAAGCAGGGGAUCUUCGGACCUUGCGCUAAUAGAUGAGCCUAAGUCGGAUUAGCUAGUUGGUGGGGUAAAGGCCUACCAAGGCGACGAUCUGUAGCGGGUCUGAGAGGAUGAUCAGCCGCACUUGGACGGAGACACUGCCCAGACUCGUACGGGAGGCAGCAGUGGGGAAUAUUGGACAAUGGGGGGAACCCUGAUCCAGCCAUGCCGCGUGUGUGAAGAAGGCCUUAUGGUUGUAUAGCACUUUAAGCGAGGAGGAGGCUACUGAGACUAAUACUCUUGGAUAGUGGACGUUACUCGCAGAAUAAGCACCGGCUAACUCUGUGCCAGCAGCCGCGGUAACAC
rnacentral:rRNA from 1 species